rnacentral:lncRNA from 1 species
CCACACUUGGUUGACAAAUGCAAAUACUUCGAGAGGCUAUCCCAGCAGACCCCACUGUGGUUUGAGGGUUUUCUCGUCAUCUUGCAUUAGAGAAAAUGAUGCUGAAUCACAUACACUUAACAAAUCAAAAAGCAACAAACAUAUGCUGGCCUUGACAGCUCUACCACUGGCUGGUUCCAGCAGGCCCUGGGUUGUGUGUGUUGGGGCUCCUCCCCAGAGAGAUGAAGAGAUGGACCGACAGUAACAGAAGGCCCUCGAAGCUGAUGUGUGAUGAAGAAUGUAAGACCCUUACUGGAAGCGACUUUGUCUUUUUCAUCACUGUAUUCCCAGUGCCCAAGUCAGUGCUUGGCUCAUCAAAGAUGCUUCAAUAUUUGUUGCUGGUCUAGUUAAAUAAAAGGUAUGUGUUCAGAUAAGUAUGUGGGAAUAUAGGCCCCU